rnacentral:rRNA from 1 species
CGAAAUUCCUUGUCGGGUAAGUUCCGACCUGCACGAAUGGCGUAAUGAUGGCCAGGCUGUCUCCACCCGAGACUCAGUGAAAUUGAACUCGCUGUGAAGAUGCAGUGUACCCGCGGCAAGACGGAAAGACCCCGUGAACCUUUACUAUAGCUUGACACUGAACAUUGAGCCUUGAUGUGUAGGAUAGGUGGGAGGCUUUGAAGUGUGGACGCCAGUCUGCAUGGAGCCGACCUUGAAAUACCACCCUUUAAUGUUUGAUGUUCUAACGUUGGCCCGUAAUCCGGGUUGCGGACAGUGUCUGGUGGGUAGUUUGACUGGGGCGGUCUCCUCCUAAAGAGUAACGGAGGAGCACGAAGGUUGGCUAAUCCUGGUCGGACAUCAGGAGGUUAGUGCAAUGGCAUAAGCCAGCUUGACUGCGAGCGUGACGGCGCGAGCAGGUGCGAAAGCAGGUCAUAGUGAUCCGGUGGUUCUGAAUGGAAGGGCCAUCGCUCAACGGAUAAAAGGUACUCCGGGGAUAACAGGCUGAUACCGCCCAAGAGUUCAUAUCGACGGCGGUGUUUGGCACCUCGAUGUCGGCUCAUCACAUCCUGGGGCUGAAGUAGGUCCCAAGGGUAUGGCUGUUCGCCAUUUAAAGUGGUACGCGAGCUGGGUUUAGAACGUCGUGAGACAGUUCGGUCCCUAUCUGCCGUGGGCGCUGGAGAACUGAGGGGGGCUGCUCCUAGUACGAGAGGACCGGAGUGGACGCAUCACUGGUGUUCGGGUUGUCAUGCCAAUGGCACUGCCCGGUAGCUAAAUGCGGAAGAGAUAAGUGCUGAAAGCAUCUAAGCACGAAACUUGCCCCGAGAUGAGUUCUCCCUGAGACUUAGAGUCUCCUGAAGGAACGUUGAAGACGACGACGUUGAUAGGCCGGGUGUGUAAGCGCAGCGAUGCGUUGAGCUAACCGGUACUAAUGAACCGUGAGGCUUAACCUU